rnacentral:rRNA from 1 species
ACGCUCGACACCUACGGGGGCAGCAGUGAGGAAUAUUGGUCAAUGGGCGCUAGCCUGAACCAGCCAAGUAGCGUGAAGGAUGAAGGCUCUAUGGGUCGUAAACUUCUUUUAUAUAAGAAUAAAGUGCAGUAUGUAUACUGUUUUGUAUGUAUUAUAUGAAUAAGGAUCGGCUAACUCCGUGCCAGCAGCCGACGGUAAUCUGAGGCGGGCGUGGACGAAGGC